UCAAACUUAGGACCAAACUGAAUUCUACUUUCCACUCCUUAUUUCCAAGCCUUCUCCUCUACAACUUUCCUCAUUUCAAACCCCAAACUUUUAUGUCAUACCAUGUAACUAAUCCAACAGAAAAUCCUGCUGGACAUACCUUCAAAACACCCGAAUCUGACCACUUACUACUACCCUUACUACUUACCUGCACUGCCACACCACUCCCACCAUCAGUGUGAAGAUGGCCGAAGUGACGAGGCACUUAAGAUCACAGAGGGAGUAGUGGGAAAAGGCCCAGAACAUGAUCUCAAAGAAUUCCCAACAUGUCAUAUGGUCGGCACGACCAAGGGAUAUAUAAAGGAGACUAGGGAACAGGGAGGUAGGAGGCAGACCAGGAGAAAGCCAUAUGCUAAGAGUGAAGAGGGGAGGAAGAUUCCACACUAUCAAAUGGAGCAGAAAGUUCAAGAUACAGAUAAUGAGCCCAAAAUGAUGGAGCAUUGAGAGGGGACAAAACAAGAAACGCGAUUUCUGGAAAACAGCAGAUGGGAUACGACUGAGCUGGACAGAGGAACUGCAAUCCAGAGGGACUCCUAGUUGGGGUGCCAGUAAGAACAUGCUGACUGGUCCCACAGCCCGAACUCAGACGUGGAGGAACAAGAACUUCGCAGAGUGGCAUGUCUGAGUAGCACCAUGCUAGUGAAGCCUGCCACCUGCCAAACCCUGCCCACAAAGCUCUCGGCCAGUCUUCCGCGGUCCACUACUACAGGACAGACUGUCAAGACCAGUCAGAAACAGAAGGGAGGUCACCCACGAACAAGACAAGGAAACUAAAAUUCAGAAUAGUCACAGUAAUUGGUGUGAACAGAGUAGGAAAGAAAAGCAAUUAAUAUGUGUGCAUCUGUAUCCUAUUAUAUCCAGAAAAAUAACAUUUUAUCUUGAACUAAGGUUAGUAUAUUUUGAAAGUAAGAGAAAUAAAGGAUGUCUUAGAAAUUAAAAUAUUUUAAAAUAUAUGAAAAAUUCAAUAGAAAAAUAAUGCUGGAAGAUCAAAAUGAAGAAAUCAUCUAGAAAAAACAGAGACAACAGUGUCCAAACAAAUAGUGUCCAAAGGAAAGAGAAGAAAAUUAAGCAUCAGUCUUGGAGGUCAAUUACCUGACUAGGAUGGCAUCAUAGUUCUCAAAAGCAGAAGAGAAUGGAGCAAUGCCUUCAAAAUACUGGGAGAGAAUUAUUCUUUUUUAUUAAAGUAUUACUGAUAUACAAUCUUACAAA